GGCAUAAGUCUUCUUUUAAAUAGCCUUACCAUAUCAUGAAUUGGUUAUAUGACUCAUUUGCUAACAUUUUUAUUGUAAAUUUUAAUGGUUUCAGAUGAAAAGGGGUUACAAUGCAGUGAGCAUAGAUUAGUUCAAAUUUUAACAUUUUGAAAUAAACAUAAGCCUUACAGGAAGUACUCAGAUGAACAACCACCCUUUACCACUCAUAAGAUACUGUACAGAUCUUAGAUAAACAAUGUAAUGAGACUUAUAUACAAUGCAUAACUGUUGGGUUGUGGGGAGGCUGGAGCCUAUCAUUAUAACUAUAAUCCAUUAUACCUUAAGUGGAUAUUAUAUGGUGUUCAUUGUGUGUAAAAAUAUCAUAAAACCACAAAUAGUUUAGUGGACUAUAACUGUUGUUAUGAUUAUUCAUGAAAUGAUACAACUCCUUUUCUCCUUAUAUAGACAUUUUUCUUUUUUUCGAACCUUUUUGGCAUAAAGUGUUCUUAAAAUUAAGUCAGAAACUCUAAGGUUACUGAACUCAACUGAAACUUUUUUCUAAGACUAGCUCUCCAGGAAAACAAUAAGCAAAGCAUACAGUAUUCCCUUAGCAAACAAUAACAAUAUUCUUAUAAAAGUCAUUAUUACAUGAAUGUUUUUGUAAUACAAUUUGACAAGGCAGAGGACACAACAAUUUAAAGACCCAUUUUUACCCAUGUUUCUAAAAAUUGUGUUAUAAUUUCUCUGUGAUUCUGAAGGUCAUUGUGACUGUACAGGAAUGAUUGCUAUAUGUGAAGAUGAGUAUGUGUGAUAGAUUUCUUUCGAAAAUGUGUGUGUGUGUGUGUUCUCAGUGGCUGAUGAGAACUGGAGGGAAUGAAUAGUGGGUGUGGAUAAAGAGAGAAAGAGCCAGAGAAGGAGGGGUGAAGACAAAUGUAACUGUCUCUGGCUCUGCCACAGUGUGUUACAGAACAACAACAAAUCCAUGCCGUUUUGGAGAUGCGCAGCUUGUGAAUUCUCCUCCGUCAUGCAGGUGUACACAGCUGAGAGAGACUCACCAGGAAAGACAGAGGAGAAGGAACAUAGUGGAAGUUUGCAUUGACAAGGAAGGUGAUUUUUUUUGUUUUUUGGUCAUACAUCCACUGGACUGAGGAAGUAUACAGUAAGGAGUCAUCAUUUGCUCUUUUAGGAUGCGCUCUCUCUGCUAUACCUCACAUCUACCCUGGCCACCCUUUCUUUGGGAUGUAGUGAAGAUUGAUGCUUCAUACAGGCUUUCCCCCUAAACAUCUGCUGACUCUGGAAACCUGGCAUCAUGCCAGUGAUGAAGGGGCUGCUGGCACCCCAGAACACUUUCCUGGACACCAUUGCAACUCGUUUCGAUGGCACUCACAGCAACUUCCUCCUUGGGAAUGCUCAGGGUCACCGUGGCUAUCCCAUUGUAUACUGUUCCGAUGGAUUCUGUGAGUUGACGGGGUUCGGACGAACAGAGGUGAUGCAGAAGAACUGCAGGUGUCAUUUCCUAUAUGGCUCGGCCACUAGUGAGCAGGUUACUCAGGGUGUGGAGAAAGCUCUGGAGGGCAAGGAGGAGUACCAGGCUGAGGUGCAGUUCUACAAGAAGAAUGGAAGUUCGUUCUGGUGUCUGUUGGACAUUGUGCCCAUUAAAAAUGAGAAGGGGGAGAUGGUGCUUUUUCUCUUUUCAUUCAAGGAUAUCACAGAAACAUAUGACAAGAGCCAUCACAGCAGCAGAACAGAUGAUAAUAAGCCAUACAACAGGACCACUGGAAACUCUCAUAUUAGUAAAGCCAGAAGGAGGGGUCACACCAUGAUUUACCAGCUAACCAGCCAGUUUACCCGUGACAGCAAAAAUGACGUCGGCCUAAGUCGGGACAUAUUUGAAAAACCGUCCCUGCCUGAGUAUAAAGUGGCAGCAGUCCAGAAGUCUCGAUUCAUCCUGCUGCAUUACAGUGUGUCCAAGGCAUUGUGGGAUUGGAUGAUUCUGCUGGCUACAUUCUAUGUUGCUGUGACCGUGCCGUACAAUGUGUGUUUCACACCUUACAGCGAUCUGGAGGCUGCAGGCAGGAGCACGAUAGUUAGCGACAUCGCAGUGGAAAUGCUUUUUAUUCUGGACAUCAUUCUUAACUUUCGCACCACCUACGUGAGUCAAUCAGGGCAGGUGGUGUACGAGUCUCGCUCCAUCUGCCUGCAUUAUGCUACCACGUGGUUCUUUGUGGAUCUGGUGGCCGCGCUGCCCUUUGACCUGCUCUAUGCAUUUAACGUUACUGUUACAUCUCUAGUGCACCUGCUGAAAACUGUGCGAUUGUUGCGUCUGUUAAGACUGCUGCAGAAGUUGGACAGAUAUUCGCAGUACAGCGCCAUGGUGCUAACACUGCUCAUGUCAAUGUUUGCUCUGCUGGCUCACUGGAUGGCCUGCAUCUGGUAUAUCAUCGGGCGCAAAGAGAUGGAGACCAAUGCCAAUGGAGCCUGGGACAUUGGCUGGCUUCAUGAGUUGGGCAGGCGUCUGGACAAGCCCUAUCUGAACAGUACAGUUGGUGGUCCUUCGGUUCGCAGUGCCUAUAUCGCUUCUCUGUAUUUCACCUUGAGCAGUCUGACCAGUGUGGGCUUUGGCAAUGUUUGUGCCAACACUGAUGCUGAGAAGAUCUUUUCUGUUUGUACUAUGCUCAUUGGAGCUCUCAUGCAUGCUGUGGUGUUUGGGAAUGUAACAGCCAUCAUCCAGCGCAUGUACUCACGUCGCUCACAAUAUCACACGCGCAUGAAAGAUCUGAAGGACUUCAUUCGUGUUCACCGGCUGCCACGGCAGCUGAAACAACGUAUGCUGGAAUAUUUCCAGACCACCUGGUCUGUGAAUAAUGGCAUUGAUGUCAAUGAGCUCUUGCAUGAUUUUCCUGAUGAGUUACGUGCUGAUAUAGCCAUGCACUUAAACAAAGACAUCCUGCAACUGCCUGUGUUUGAGGGUGCCAGUAGGGGUUGCCUGCGCUCUCUCUCCCUCCACAUCAAAACCUCUUUCUGUACACCGGGAGAAUACCUCAUCAGACAGGGGGACGCAUUGCAGGCCAACUACUUUGUCUGUUCUGGGUCACUGGAGGUUCUAAAGGACAACAUGGUCUUGGCUAUUCUGGGAAAAGGAGAUCUGAUUGGCUCAGACCUGCCAAGCCAGAAUCAUGUGAUCAAGACGAAUGCUGAUGUGAAGGCACUGACAUACUGUGACCUGCAGUACAUUAGUGUGAAAGGUUUAAGUGAUGUGCUUGAACUAUAUCCUGAGUAUGCCAGCUUCUUCACUACCGACAUCCACUGUAACCUCACAUACAAUCUGAGAGAGGGCAGUGAGACUGAGCAGAACUACCCAGACUCCUGUGCAUCAACUGAGAAUAAGCGUCCAUCCAUUGCAGAAAAGGCUGAUGAUCCAAACAAGUACUUCCACGUCCCACCUGCUUCCAAUACAUGCCGAAAUCUACUUCUGCCGAAUCUAGGCAGCCCAGUGCGACGUACAUCCUUGGGGAACCUUUUAGGGGAGGAGUUACUGCAAUUCAACGCCUUGAGACAUUGUCGUUCACCCGUCAGGGGCUGGAGUCCAAACCCCUCCCCCAAACCGCAGACCAAAGUACAGAAACAAACCCAUCCACCCUCAUCUACACCUAAGUCCAUUCAUAGGACACAGACAGAUUCUGAAGGUACAGGACGCAAACCUGCCAAACUGCUCAUCCCCACUCUCAACUGCUUUGGACCACCAGAUCUUAGUCCAAGAGUUGUAGAUGGAAUUGAGGACAACGGACAUGUUUUUCAUUUCAAUGUCGAGGACAAAACUACCAAAACUAGCACAGUGACAUCACUGGGUAGUAAGACACUGGACGGGUCUGGUCAUGCUUCACUGCUUCAGGAGACAAAAGAAGUGAGAGAGACCAUUUCCCAACUCAACAAGAAGAUGGGCAAUCUGAAAGAGGAAGUGUCAAUUCUAACAAAGGAUCUGCAUCACAUAAUGCACCUGCUGCAAGCACAGAUAGCCGUUCGUCAUUACGCAGCACCUUUGUCCUCCUGUCCCUAUGGAGUCCAUAUGAUGUCAAAUUCUUCUGUCAGUAUGUCUCCGGCCUACAUCUUGGGUUCCAGCAUCCACAUGCAGCACAAAGACCAUGUUGUCCCUGAGAAUCACCUGGGGUCCACAUCAUGGAGUCAUAGCAGAGCUGGUGGAUCUGGUUUUGCUCAGCACACUGAGAAACAGGGACACCUUCACCAGCAUGAGUCAAAUCAACACUGUCCUGUCACAGCAAAUGACCCCUGUUCCCAUGACUGGAGCUCCAUCCAUUCCUCAGUCAGCCCCCAUCACUUCUCCACUGGCUCCACUCUCCUUAGCAUCAGCCCAGGAACCCAGGGGCCAACACCUGGAGAAGGCCCCCGAGCAGAGGGCUUAUCACUGGGCAUUUGUGCUGGAGGUCAUGCCAAUAUCAACCAAUCACAGCCUGUUUUGCAUACAUUUUUAUCACAAAACUUGGGCGGUUCCUCUUUGUCCUGCAAGGUCACGCCUAGCUCGUAUUCACAUCUUCACCUUUCCACAGAACCAGCGUUUUCCUACUCCACUCCAACCCUGGGUGAGGUACACAGGACUCCAGAAGUGGCCCUCAGUAAGAACCAGAAUGUGGACCCUUCCACUUUCCUACCAGAGAAUUCUCCACUCUCUCCAAAGGAAUUGGAUGAGUCAACUGAGAUAGAGCACACCAGUCGGGAGCGCUUACUGGGUAAUCAAAGGCUGGGCCAAGACGGUGAGACAUCAGAGAGCAGGUCUAGUGGAUCCAGUGUAGGACUUCAAAGCCAAUCUGAGAGCUCAGAGAGCACAUGGUGCCUGGAUCUUAUGGAAUGAUAAUGAGGAAAGACUAAAAUCAAGGCAACACAAACAGAUUCUGCAACCAAACUUUCAAUUUGAAUUUCGAUUGACACAACUGUCCUUUCAUUGUGAAUUUCAUAACUUCAUGAGUAUGAUUAAAUGCGAACUAGCAGCACAGCAGUUAAUCAUCAUCAGGAACCUUUUCCUGUUGUACUGCAGAAAAGGCAGUUCAGGUGUUGAAAAACUGUCUCCGCACCAGCCUCUAAAACCUGCUGAUCUCAAACAUAAAACUACAAAAUGGUUUUAUGAAUCUGGGGGCCGGAUGUCCUUGCCAAAAACAUGGUUCCUGGUGUUCCAUCCCUUUCUCAAAAACUGUGAAACUAUGCAAAGGCACAUGUGAAUUAUAUCAUUAAAUGGAGAGCAUCUCUACUAAAAAUGACUGUUUUGUCUAGAUGUUCAUGAAUCAGUUGUGGAAUUCAGAGAAUUCAAGAAUCACUUUCAUUAAACUAUGAUACUAUGUUUUGGAAGGUAUAGGUUUUGUUCUCUAUUUGUAUGUUCCUGACAUCAUUCUUUUUCCUAAAGAAAAUGUAUUCUGAAAUGUUGAAUGAAUAUUCUGUACAUCUAGGACUGAGCUUUUAUAAACUUUAUCAUCUCUUCCCAUGUACAGCUUGACUGUUUACUCAGAUGGGACAUAAGAACAGUUUUGGCAGCACACUGUUCCAACAUACUGCUAUAAUCUAUGCCCAUGACAGACCACCCUCAUUUUUAAUAUUUCAAUCAGAUGACCAUGUAGUACUGGAAGACAUGUUCUGAUAAAAAUUACAAGCCCAGAAUAUAUCCACAAAAGGAUUAUUCUGUGUUAAAUUCAGAAAAAGUCACUUUGAAACCUAUAUGCACAAUCGGCAAUGAAAAAAAUAUACUGCAUGACAGUUUAGCAAAGCUUAUUAAUAAGUUAUGCAUUAUUAAAAUAUGCUGAGUAAUGCUGCCAUUGCUAAAUCUGUGAAUACUGCAUGUUGGAAUUCCGUAAAACAUGAUGCUUUAAUUCCAGUAGUACUCUAUUGCACUAAAUAACUGAAUUUAAUACUUAAUUUUGGAUUAAUGAGACUCAGGGUUGAUUUUCAUUUGCACAAUAUAUGAUUAGGAGUUAUUAGAAUUUAAUGGAUUGCACUUUAUGCAACAUGAACCUGCACACACAUGACUCUCGUAUGUAAUUAUAGUUUGUGUGGUAACACUUUACAAUUAGGUUUCAUUUGUUAACAUUAGUUAACUACAUUAGUUAACAUUAACUAAGAAUGAAUAAUAUUCAACAGCAUUUAUCAAUGUUAAUUUCAACAUUUACUAAUACAUUUUUAAAUUAAAUGUUGUAUUUGUUAGCAUUAUUUGUUAAGAUUAAUAAAUGUGGUCCCACUUUAUAUUAGGUGGCCAUAACUACUAUGUACUUA